AGAGUUGAGUCCUGGCGUAGGACGAACGCUGGCGGCGUGCCUAACACAUGCAAGUCGAGCGAGGAGAUCCUUCGGGAUGAUCCUAGCGGCGGACGGGUGAGUAACACGUGGGCAACCUGCCUCAUAGAGAGGAAUAGCCUUCCGAAAGGGAGAUUAAUACCUCAUAACAUUGCAGUUUCGCAUGAAACAGCAAUUAAAGGAGCAAUCCGCUAUGAGAUGGGCCCGCGGCGCAUUAGCUAGUUGGUGAGGUAACGGCUCACCAAGGCGACGAUGCGUAGCCGACCUGAGAGGGUGAUCGGCCACAUUGGGACUGAGACACGGCCCAGACUCCUACGGGAGGCAGCAGUGGGGAAUAUUGCACAAUGGGGGAAACCCUGAUGCAAGCAACGCCGCGUGAGUGAUGACGGCCUUCGGGUUGUAAAGCUCUGUCUUCAGGGACGAUAAUGACGGUACCUGAGGAGGAAGCCACGGCUAACUACGUGCCAGCAGCGGC
rnacentral:rRNA from 1 species